rnacentral:rRNA from 1 species
UCAGGCCUAACACAUGCAAGUCGAACGAGACCUUCGGGUCUAGUGGCGCACGGGUGCGUAACGCGUGGGAAUCUGCCCUCUGGUACGGAAUAACUCAGGGAAACUUGAGCUAAUACCGUAUAAUGACUUCGGUCCAAAGAUUUAUCGCCGGAGGAUGAGCCCGCGUCGGAUUAGCUUGUUGGUGAGGUAAAGGCCCACCAAGGCGACGAUCCGUAGCUGGUCUGAGAGGAUGAUCAGCCACACUGGGACUGAGACACGGCCCAGACUCCUACGGGAGGCAGCAGUGGGGAAUAUUAAGCAAUGGGCGCAAGCCUGAUCCAGCAAUGCCGCGUGAGAAAGAAGGCCCUAGGGUUGUAAAGCUCUUUACCCGGGAUGAUAA